rnacentral:rRNA from 1 species
UACAGAGGGGGCAAGCGUUAUUCGGAAUUAUUGGGCGUAAAGGGCGCGUAGGCGGCCUUGCAAGUGGCGGGUGAAAUCCCUCGGCUUAACCGAGGAACUGCCUGCCAGACUGCAAGGCUCGAGACCGGGAGAUGUGACUGGAAUUCCUGGUGUAGCGGUGAAAUGCGCAGAUAUCAGGAGGAACACCGAUGGCGAAGGCAGGUCUCUGGGCCACUACUGACGCUGAGAAGCGAAAGCAUGGGGAGCGAACAGG